AUUGAACGCUGGCGGCAGGCCUAACACAUGCAAGUCGAACGAGUGGCGGACGGGUGAGUAAUGUAUGGGAACCUGCCUGAUGGAGGGGGAUAACUACUGGAAACGGUAGAUAAUACCGCAUAACAUCAGAUGGGCCCAGAUGGGAUUAGCUAGUUGGUGGGGUAACGGCUCACCAAGGCGACGAUCCCUAGCUGGUCUGAGAGGGUGAUCAGCCACCCUGGGACGGAGACACGGCCCAGACUCCUACGGUAGGCAGCAGUGGGGAAUAUUUCGCAAUGGGCGCAAGCCUGAUGCAGCCAUGCCGCGUGUAUGAAGAAGGCCUUCGGGUUGUAAAGUACUUUCAGCGGGGAGGCGUUACCCGCAGAAGAAGCACCGGCUAACUCCGUGCCAGCAGCCGCGGUAAUAC
rnacentral:rRNA from 1 species